GACGAACGCUGGCGGCGUGCCUAACACAUGCAAGUCGAGCGGAAAGGCCCUUCGCGGUCCUCGCGCAGCUAACGGGCGAGCAACACGUUAGCAAUUUGCUCACGUCUCUGUGAUACUUACCGGACAUGGUGGCUCAUACGCGAAACGACAACCGUCUGUUUGAGCUGGUUGUGGAAAGGUUUUUCGCGCAUGGGUGUUCUCGCGGCCUUUGAGCCUGUUGGUGGGGUAAUGGUCUUCCAAGGCUUCGACGGGUAGCCGGCAUGGCCGGGUGACCAGCCACACUAGGGCUGAGACUCGGCCGGGACGCCUACGGGAGGAAGCAGUGGGAAAUGUUGGACAAUGGGCGGAAGCCUGAUCCGGCAGCGCCGCGUGAGGGAUGACGGCCAUAGGGUUGUAAUCCUCAUGCAGUACCGACGAAGCGCCGAUGAUGGUGGUGACGGUAGGUACAGAAGAAGCACCGGCUAACUACGUG
rnacentral:rRNA from 1 species